rnacentral:rRNA from 1 species
AUGCUCUCCGCUGCCUUCGCUGUCCACCCCGCCGCCGUCGCGCCGCGGCUGCAUUCGGUCCGCCAGCGCCAGCAAUUCUGCGCUCCAAUCGGCACGGCGACGCCAAGGCGGCGGUUGCCAGUGGCGAUGCUUUCGGUCACUAACGCCGUCACCACCCAGAGCCGCGAGAGCGCCCCCGCAGCGCCUCGCAAGCUCUCUUUCCCGAUACUGGUGAACAGUUGCACCGGGAAAAUGGGGAAGUCUGUUGCUGAAGCAGCUGUGUCUGCUGGUCUUCAGUUAGUUCCGGUGUCAUUCAGUGCAAUAGAGGUUCCUGAUGGAAAGCUCAACAUCUGUGACAGAGAUAUUCAUAUUCAUGAUCCAUCUGAAAGUGAACGUAUUCUCCGUUCCAUUGCUAAGGACUACCCAGAUAUGAUAGUUGUUGACUACACUGUGCCUGAUGCUGUUAAUGCCAAUGCUGAACUUUACUGCAAACUUGGCUUGCCAUUUGUAAUGGGCACAACUGGUGGAAAUAGGCAACUGUUGAACAAAACUGUGCAGGAUGCGAAUGUUUAUGCUGUGAUAUCUCCACAGAUGGGGAAGCAGGUUGUUGCUUUCCUUGCUGCCAUGGAAAUCAUGGCAGAGAAAUUCCCUGGUGCAUUUGCAGGUUACAAACUAGAGGUAAUGGAGUCUCAUCAAGCGACAAAAUUGGACGUUUCUGGCACUGCCAAAGCUGUAAUCUCUUGCUUUCAGAAGUUGGGUGUCUCAUUCGACUUAAACGAGGUAAACUUGGUUAGGGACCCCGAAGAGCAGCUUGCCAUUGUUGGUGUCCCAGAAGAACAUCUUGGAGGGCAUGCAUUUCACAAUUACCAUCUCACUUCGCCUGAUGAAACAGUGUCAUUUGAGUUCCAGCACAAUGUGUGUGGCCGUUCAAUAUACGCAGAGGGAACUGUUGAUGCCGCCAUGUUUCUCCACACAAAGAUACGAUCUGGGGCGGACAAGAAAUUAUAUGAUAUGAUCGAUGUCCUGAGAGAAGGCAACAUGAGAUGA